GCUGUGGAAACCUCCUUGAUUGGUGGUAGAAGCGCUUCCGCAUUCAACACAUGCAUAUGCCCCUGUCCGUGGAGGUUACUGUGAACAAAACAGCGUGUCCAAAGCAACCACAUGUCUGGCUGAAUGAUCUAGCAUGGAAUAACAAGGCAUCGACCACUGGAGUCAGCCUUUUUGUUGGUUUUACAUGACCCAGUUGGGCAAUGCAGUGCUUGUGCUUCAUUGAGGUUCUUAGUCAGCUCUACCGAACUGUCUUCCCUCAGUUGGACCUUGUUCCCUAUCGGGAUCAAUGGAAGCCAUCGGGGUGGUAUGUAUUCCGACGUGAGCGGUGGAAUGCUUAGACCGUUGGAAGACAAACGACAGCGAAGGCAUUCCGCCAGAAUGUUUUCAUUAAUCAAGAACGAGAGUGUGGGGAUCGAAGAUGAUCAGAUACCAUCGUAGUCCAUUACCGUAAACUAUGCCAACUCGGCAUUGGGAGUCUGUUCACUUUGAAGACUCUCCCAGCAUCAUCCCCCAAUAACGAGAAAUCCAAGUCUAUGGGUUCAGGGGGGAGUACAGUCGCAAGGCUGAAACUUAAAGGAAUUGACGGAAUGACACCACAAGGCGUGGAGUAUGCGGCUUAAUUUGACUCAACACGGGGAAGCUUACCAGGUCAGACACAGUAAGGAUUGACAGAUUGAGAGCUCUUUCUUGAUCCUAUGGAUGGUGGUGCAUGGCCGUUUCUGGUUCGUGGAGUGAUCUGUCUGCUUAAUUGCGAUAACGAACGAGAUCUCUACCUCUAAAUAGGCGCCGGUCUCGCAUUUAAGUAGGGAUGUGUUGGGGGCCUUCGUGUCCCCUCAUGUCCUGAGAGUGCCGGGAUCGCUUCUUAGACGGACUGUGCAUGUCUUUAAUGCACGGAAGAGGGAGUCAAUAGCAGGUCUGUGAUGCUCCUAGAUGUUCUGGGCUGCACGCGCACUACACUGGCACAGUAAACGAGUUGCACCUGCUUCGGCAGUCCUGCUUAGAAGUGAGCGUGGGAAAUCUUAGAAAACUGUGUCGUGCUGGGGAUAGAUGAUUGCGAUUAUUUGUCUUGAACGAGGAAUGCCUAGUAGAGGUACUUCAUCAGAGUACCUUGAUUGUGUCCCUGCCAUUUGUACACACCGCCCGUCGUUGCUACCGAUUGGCUGUAAAAUAGAGGCCUUAAGAGUCGCUUCCGCAAAGCUUUGCUUUUGAGGUUGUGACAAAUCUGGCCAAUAUUUCAUUGCUAGAGGAAGCGAAAGUCGUAACAAGG
rnacentral:rRNA from 1 species